rnacentral:rRNA from 1 species
AAAAGUCGUAACAAGGUUUCCGUAGGUGAACCUGCGGAAGGAUCAUUACCCUUUGCUCAAGGCGUCCAUCGGGCCCCCUGGCCCCUCGGGCGUCGUGGCAAUCAACCCUUGCCUAUGUUGUACCCUCCGUCCAUCCCUCGGCGGGCUUGCGCCCGUCAGGGGUCCGAACCACCCUUGCAUCAAAGCAUCAAACUCUCUGAAUGAACUAAAAUAUCACAACUUUCAACAAUGGAUCUCUUGGUUCUGGCAUCGAUGAAGAACGCAGCGAAAUGCGAUAAGUAGUGUGAAUUGCAGACUUUAGUGAAUCAUCGAAUCUUUGGACGCACAUUGCGCCCUUUGGUAUUCCAUUGGGCAUGCCUGUUCGAGCGUCACAUGCAACCUCAAGCCUUGCUUGGUGUUGGGCGCCCGUCCCGCUCACAGCGUGGACUCGCCCCAAAGACAUUGGCAGCGGCCCCGCCAGCUUCUUGCGCAGCACUUUGCGCUCCCGGAAGUCACUGGAGGGCUCGCGUCCAUCAAGAACCCCUCUGUUUGACCUCGGAUCAGGUAGGGAUACCCGCUGAACUUAAGCAUAUCAAUAAGCGGAGGAAAAGAAACCAACAGGGAUUGCCCUAGCAACGGCGAGUGAAGCGGCAACAGCUCAAAUUUGAAAUCUGGCCCCCUGUGGGGUCCGAGUUGUAAUUUGCAGAGGGCGCUUUGGCGUUGGCGGCGGUCUAAGUUCCUUGGAACAGGACGUCACAGAGGGUGAGAAUCCCGUACGUGGCCGUCUGCCUUUGCCGUGUAAAGCCCCUUCGACGAGUCGAGUUGUUUGGGAAUGCAGCUCUAAAUGGGAGGUAAAUUUCUUCUAAAGCUAAAUACUGGCCAGAGACCGAUAGCGCACAAGUAGAGUGAUCGAAAGAUGAAAAGCACUUUGGAAAGAGAGUCAAAUAGCACGUGAAAUUGUUGAAAGGGAAGCGCUUGCAGCCAGACUUGCCUGCGGUCGUUCGCUUCCGCAGGCAGGCCAGCAUCAGUUUGGGCGAUCGGAUAAGGGCCUCUGUCAUGUAUCUUCCUUCGGGACGACCUUAUAGGGGAGGCGUAGUACGAUCAGCCCGGACUGAGGUCCGCGCAUCUGCUAGGAUGCUGGCGUAAUGGCUGUAAGCGGCC